rnacentral:rRNA from 1 species
CGGCCGCGUCGACACCCAUGUCAUUUAUUUGAAAGGGGCAAAUGCUCCACUACAAGAUGGACCUGCGUUGUAUUAGCUAGUAGGUGAGGUAACGGCUCACCUAGGCGACGAUACAUAGCCGACCUGAGAGGGUGAUCGGCCACACUGGGACUGAGACACGGCCCAGACUCCUACGGGAGGCAGCAGUAGGGAAUCUUCGGCAAUGGGCGAAAGCCUGACGGAGCAAGAUCGCGUGGGGGAAGAAGGCUCUUGGGGUUGUAAACCCCUUUUCUCUGGGAAGAAAGUUGUGAAAGCAACC